AAGAAGCGUUUUCGGUGGCAGCCUGNGUAUAAAUCCUUUGGAACAGGGUAUCAUAGAGGGUGAGAAUCCCGUCUUUGACUCAGUGCAUGCUACUAUGUGAUACGUUUUCAAAGAGUCGAGUUGUUUGGGAAUGCAGCUCAAAAUGGGUGGUAAAUUUCAUCUAAGGCUAAAUAUUGGCGAGAGACCGAUAGCGAACAAGUACCGUGAGGGAAAGAUGAAAAGAACUUUGAAAAGAGAGUUAAACAGUGCGUGAAAUUGUUGAAAGGGAAACGCUUGACACCAGUCAUGCGAGCGGAAAAUCAGUCUUUUGCAGUGGGGAGUUGUGUGAGUUCGGACCGCAAGGCCGGCCUGUGCUGCAUCUCUGCUGUAAGUGAUGCACUUUUUCGUUUGCAGGCCAACAUCAGUUUCUUCUGCUGGACAAAACUCUUGAGAAGGUAGCAGCUUUGGCUGUGUUAUAGCUCUUGAGCGAUACAGUGGAGGGGACUGAGGUUUUCNCANCGCGUGCUCUCGGGCAAGGCUGAUUGGGUGCUAUGGGAUCGUUCGGUGUACAAUGCAUGCAUUUUGCGCCGUGUCUUUUCUAUACUCGCUCAACUCGGCUCUUCCGCGCU
rnacentral:rRNA from 1 species